AGUGCUGGUUUUUGGAUAUGAAUUUGUCAUUAAGACUACCUGGGCUGACUCUCUUUUCGGACUCAGCCCACCUGCACCCAGGUGAAAUAAACAGCUUUAUUGCUCACACAAAGCCUGUUUGGUGGUCUCUUCACAUGGACGCGCAUGAAAUUUGGUGCCGUGACUCGGAUCGGGGGACCUCCCUUGGGAGAUCAAUCCCCUGUCCUCCUGCUCUUUGCUCCGUGAGAAACAUCCACCUAUGGCCUCAGGUCCUCAGACCGACCAGCCCAAGAAACAUCUCACCAAUUUCAAAUCCGAAUCUGACUUUUGUCUUUAUGGCUAAAGAAGCAGUGCUGUAUCCCACAGUAGUACAAAGGGCAAAAGAUGAGUGCCAGAGAUGGCAUCUUCAGCACGAACGCUGGCUGUGAGGACUUUGGAUGGAAGAACAGAAGAGGAGAAUGCUAGGAAUUCCCUGUACAACUGGAAAGAAGAGUGCUCAGCACAGCAUGGGGCUGAAGCCUAAGUACAACAAUAAUGAGUUAGACUUGGUUCUCAUGGAACCAACAGGCCACUUACUCCUUUAGCUGCUUGGUUAACUUCACCACUUGAGAGGCCAGCGACAUGCAGGUCUCCACCACCACCAGGUACCUGGAGCACAGGGUGUGCCCCUGCCGCUCGGCGCUCUGGGAGGGCUUUUCCCCAGCGUGGUUCUGCAUGGUGACAUUUGCUCCAUAUUCAACCAAGGUCUGUCAGAAAAUGAAGGACAUGUGUAUCAGGACAUCUCUGUACACAUUAUUUUUUAAUGACUGUAACAGAAUGUUGAAUAGUAUGAAGAGAGCCUCUAGGGACCUUUCAGCAGUCAAUAUCACACACCUCCCUUCAGAGUCUAUGAUGAUGUAGCAGAGCCAGUCCUACUACUAUCAAUGCUCAUCUGCAGCCCACAUAAGGAGGGGGCUGGGAAGGAGAGGAGGAGGCUGUCCAUAGUGUGCUCUCCUUUAUGAGAUAUGCAGUGCAGUCUUUGUGGUGGGGAGUUCUGUCUCUUGUCAUGGUUGGGCUCCAAGAGAAUCACUCAUAGUCAGAGAUGCCUGUAAGAGGGGGAGACUGGAAUCUUACCUGUUCUCAUUUGCUUGGGCUCUAGUAACUGGAUUUGGUCUCUGGUAAUUGGUUUUGAAAUAACACCUGUUUAUUUGUUGCUGCGCCAACCUGAUCAGGAAUAAAAAGAACUGGAAAGAAAUGACAUGGCUGAGAGUGGGGAGGCUGUGAAGCAGCUCCCACCCUCCCACAAUGGGCUAUGGUGAGGACAUGUCUGUGGAUUGAGCAGGCUUUGUAGAAGAAAGCUUUGUGUGAGCUUCUUAUCACCUCUUUAAUGAGGAGAGGGUUCUAUGGCUACAAUUGGCAAUAGGCUGCCCCAGAGGUGGAGAGAACUGUAUGGGGGAGGAGGGGAAGGCUCCAGAGGGCCCUCUGAAGACCCCAACCAUGGCACUCACUGGAGAGUCAGCAUCUGAAGGUUGGCACAGAGGGCAUCAGUGACCACAGCCAGCCAAAGAAGCAGGGACAACUUUCAGGGAGGUUGCAUGCCUUUCCCAGUUAAGCAAAGAGAUACCGGACUUUUUCUCUUCAUACCUCCUUCUUGUCCUUGACACUGCAGCCCAGAAGAGAUAGGGGGAUAGGAGCUAAAGUGGUGUGUAAAAAGGCAUGUCUCACUCCCAUUCCAAGUCCCUUGAAUCUUGAGUCUAGUCUGGGUGGGAAGGAGAAUGCUUUGAAUCAGAAGUAAGACUGAGAUUUUAAAGAGGCUUGGAGUAAAUUUUAAUAGUCAUAAGAAAGGAGAAAGUUACGGAAUCUGGCCAAGGUAUCAUUAGUUGUGGAGAGAGAGAAAUUUGAUGGAACAUGGUUGAAAUUAAUAAUUUAAAAAAAUCCAAACUAUUUUGUGUCCAUACUGUGAUAUUAUUAGAUUCCACAAAAAGUUAUUACAUCAAUAUUAAUCAACCACUACAAUCUGAUAGAUUCUUUGACAAUAUCAUGAUGAGACUGCAAACCUGGAUUAAUCUGGGUAGUAGACAGUGUUUUCCCCUAAGCAAUAGUUGUAGUAUUUAAAUUUUUAGACUACUUAGACUGAGAGGUCAGUAAGGAGCUUCGUUUUCCUUUUGGUUUAUGAUCACUCACCAUGAAAGGUCAACUCACCACAAAGCCAUUGCCACCUACCUCACAGGAGUGUCACAGAGACCAUGUCAGUAUUGAGCUCUCAGGGCUCUUGAAGAGAUGCUAUAUAAACACACACUGUUAUUACUCCCCCUUGGCCCUGACCUCUGCAGUUUUCUUUCCAUUGUUUUCCUUACUCAGUCCCCUCCUCACCUCAUAGGGUCCCUUGCUCACUCUCGGUCUCUUAUCUUUUUUUUUCUUUAAAUUUCACACCCAGUGGACAGAUCCCCUUCCAAGAUUAUCCAAGUUUCCACUUCCAUGGUACCCAGUGCCAAAAAUAUCAUUUGUGUGUAAGUGGAGUGAUGAACGCUCUAAAAGCAAAGACUGUCUCUCUUCACAUAUUAAAAAGAAAAAUAACUAAAAUCUCACGUAGUGAUAUCAGCUGGCUUUCUUUGGCUUUAGUCAUUUCUUAGCUGCUUAAAAGUUUGUUUCAAGACUAUUAAAUAUUAGAGUGUUUUGUUAAAUAGAAAAGCAUAUUUUUCAAUGUUUAUUCAAUCAUAUUUCCUUUACAAAAAAAUGCUACUCCUUUAAUAUUUCUGCAGAACCUGUUAAGAAUUUAAAUUUCUCUCCUAUACUCUCCAAUUUCAUAUCACUCUUUUAAAAACUUGAUGCCUUAAAUUAGAAGAUGCACACUUUGCCAACAAUAAUAGAAAAACUUUCAGCUCUCCGGACUAUUUCCUAUCAAGUGAGUUCUCCAAACAGCAGUUUCAUGUGAGUAGGCACUCUAGAGAGAUUUCUGCUAUUAUCUCUGCUUUUUGUUUUCAUAAAUCUCUUGCCUUUUAUAUUUAUAGUUUCCCCAUAUAUUCUCCUGUCAUUUCCCAAGUCUCCUCUACCUUCCUGAGCAACUGGUUCUCACCUCUCAGUUUUCUGUUUUGGAUACCAUCUAUCUUGCACCCAGGAGGGCCUCAGUAAGUACCUGUUGAAUAACUGAGCACACUGAGUUUGCAACAUAGGAAAAUAACACACGUGUAAGCCAAAAAAAAAAAAAAAAAAAAAAGAGUACUGCUUUCUUAAAGGUAGAAAGUGUAUUACAUGUUAUAUACCAUAACAUAUUUUGAACCGUAUGAACUUGAUGAGGUAAAAGUCUUGUCUCUAAUCAUGACCUUCAACCAUAUGUUGUCAAUUUCCCUAUCCUAUAUAUCAGAUAGAUAUGGGAAUAAAUCCAUAUAUGUCGGGUCACUUUCAAUGAUAAUAAUGGUAUAAUUGGUCUGAUUCUGGUAAUAAUGAUUUAUGUCUGUAAAUAAAAUUCUAGACCAAGUCUAAACUUUGACUUUGUUUCCAAUUCAAAGCCUUUCCUUUCCUCACAUUGUCAUGCCUCUUCCAUCUGCUACUCCUCCUUCAGCUAUCCCCUCUUUUUGCUCUGUCACUGAGGGCAUUCGACAUUUUCAAGGUGGAAAGAUCAAUUGGGUCUUAUGUUCACAUAUACUCCAGACUCCUGGAGACCUUUGUUGGGCUUUCCUGCCAUGCACUACUUGGAUGGCAGCUCUGGGUUUGGCCCAGUUUCAUGCAGCUCUGCAUUCAACUGAGGGAUGAGAUGUCACCUCUUCUUCUCAUAGGAACCCUACACUCUCUAGGGAGCUUUCUUGGAGCACCCUUCAUGUGGCUUGGGGCAGGGGGUCGAGACUCCUUCCCCUCUCCUGUGGCUCAGCUCCCCAACUUUUUGACAUCAUUGUACACACUGGAUAUGACAAUAUUUAGAAGGCAAGUUAGGGUAAAAAGAUAAGGCUACUUGAGGCUGUUGGGUGCAGUGGUUGGGCAAUCAAGGCCCUGGGUGGCCUGCCCAAGGGCGGAGAGGACCAAUAUCUGAAUCUACUCCCAACCAAUUCUGGACCUUUUGAAUGCAUUUGAGAAGCUCAGUCCUACUACAGAGAAAGGGGGAACUACAGCAUUCUCUCUCUAGCCUACAACUCCCUACACAAAGAAUUCUAAUCCAUUCCUGAAAAAUCUAUCUUAUUCUUCAUAUACCUGGAGGAUGAAAUUUACUAGUUAGGGGAAGAGCAGCCUGCCACUUGAGAGACAGAUGUCUGCCUGGUAGUGGUUUCUCUGGUGCCUUGAGAACAUGGGGAAAUUUAAUGUCUAUUGUCCUCAGCACUGGGGCUUUAGAGCAGUGAUAAGGGAGCAGGAAAAGUCCCUUUCAACACCCUGGGACACUGAAAGAGAAACUCUUAUGGAUAUUUAUGCCUACCUACAUUUGUGUGGAUUUCUGGAAACACAAAUAGAGCAAUAAUUCCUUAUUGUCUACGACCAUACAAAAGGUGAAUUAAUUCAGACAUUCUCCUAGUGAACAUAAUUUUAAUGUUUUGUUUAAUAUUUGAUAUACUCAUUUCUCAUUGCAAAACAGCAGGGCCUGUGUACCUGUAUGCAUCCAAGGUAGCCAUGCUGUGAGGCUACGUGAACGGCACUGUUGCCAUCCUGGUCUACUUCAUCCAACGAGAUGCCCUGUUCUUGCAUAAACUGAAGAAGCCACAGAAGAAUCUUUUCCUAUAAACACAAAGACAGUUGGAAUUCAUGUAAUAUCUUGCAGAGAAGUUAGAUAAAAAGACAGAGGAAAACAAUACCCUAAUUUGUGAAGCUUAGGUAAAACCAUGCUUACCGUAGCAAGAGAAAAUUCUCAUUCAGAUGUGAAUUGAAAAUCCUUGAAUCUCUGACUGAAAUGAAUGAAAGAGGACGGCAUAGAGAAUUUUAAGAGCAGGAAGCUCCCUUGGAAGCGCUCUUAUUUUACUUAUCUAUUCUAUAGAUGGGAAAAUAGGUUUGCAGUAAGAUUGAGUGCCUCAUCCAAGGCACACAGCUAGACAGAUCCAAAGUUGGAACUAGAAUCCAUGUCUUUUGAUUCCAAGGCUCCCAAGGCAAUGUUCUUGCUGCUGUGUUAUACUGCCUGUAGGCUUCAAGAAUGUUACCAUAAAACCUUGAAUUGUUGAGAAUUAGCUUCUACUCUUAAGUUUAUAAUUCUUCAACCAUGCCUUUAUAAUCCAUACCUCCUGCAAUCAACAGGCUUAUAAAAAACAGGUAAAUACGUUAAGUUGCCAAGUGUAAGAUAAGUUCAUUGAAAUAAAACCAGGACCCUCUUGAUUUUCUGACCAAGUGUUGGUGGUGUCUUAAGGUAAAGAUUUCCCUUCUUUCAUGUUAAAGGAAGGGAACCAAAAGCUUGGAACGCAAACCUUUCAAAAGCAAAGACAUAGAGCAGUCACAGUAUGUGUUGUCAUAAUCUGUUUGCAUUUUACCCACUGAGUGUUUUGUGGUAUUUUCAUGUUAUGCUUGGCCUUUGGAGAAAGCAGGGGGAUGGGAUUUCACUGUUUUAAAAUAGAAGAUUAAAUAUAAAGUUAAAAAAAUAUGAGAGUGGUAAAAACAACAGCAUGAAGUUUAGUGGGUGGAAUUUGACAUUUAAAAAGAUGAUCAUGUGUUUGAAAUAACCUUGAACUUCUUUCUUCUUAGCCUUUUAAAGGAUUUUUUUUUCCAGUUGUUUGCUCCGACUGCUCAUGAACUUUUAUACUUUUCUGGAUUAAAUUUGCCUUCAUCUUCUGAACAUGCCAACUAAUCUGCUAAAGGAAUGUUGGAUAAAAACAGCCAAAUCUUUUAAUGUUUCACCCCUUAUGUUGGGGAACAGGGCACUGUUUAUGAAGGUAUUUGUGACAUCAGGGAGAGACUGAACAUUUGCACCACACUUUUUCUAAAUGAGCACCAGGGAGUAAGACCCCUAAAGAGCAUGAUGAGAACAAUGUAAUCUAUGCCUACAGCCUUCUAAGAAGGCAUCCCAGAAAGCAGGGUGAGUGUUAACUGCAAAAGGAGACAGACAUGGUAGAAACUGAAACCCUCAAGGGUCCCUAGAGAAUGAGGUAGAAGCAGAGCCUGGAGCUAUGGCUGGGAGUUAGAGGUUGGAUAAGAAUAUGCUGCUAUGCUUAGUCCUCUUCUUCAAAGGCAAACCUAGAGAAAAUUGGAGCUGAUGUUUGGACCACAGCAGGUGAUGUUUCAUUUGCAUAACGUAAAAGCAGUUCCUUUGUUUUUUUUCUAAUUAGGUAGGGGAAAAACACUGGAUUACUUUUAAUUGGACAUAGAUGAUUAUAGCAUACGAUUCUUAACUCCUUAAAAAUCUGGAUGAAUGGAAGUAUCUCAGGAUAAAAGACAUAACCAACUGGUUGAGGUUAAUGGCUCAGACAUGGAGGCUGCAAGAGGAUAGAUUAUGGUACCUCUACCAGUGAAACAGAUGGACCCACCAUAGGCAGAACAAAUUCUCUUCAAUGGGUCAUUCUCAAACUUGUGGUGAUUUGGUUUGCUUCAAGAUAUUAAAUCAUGGACUCCUAAACAUGUGGAGGGGAGAGAUUUUAAAGAAUCAUCCAAUUCAAAAAGCCUUAUUUUAUAAGUCAGAAAACUGAGGGAGCGGACAAUGAUAUACAGCAAGUCCUCAUGUGAUGGCAUGGACAGAUUCUUGGAAAUUGCGACUUUAAGCAAAAUGAAGUAUAAUGAAACUAAUUUUACCAUUUUAGUUCCUAUGACAUAUUUCUGGUCACAAAAACAGCACCAAACUUCUAAAUAAAGACCAAACACUUCUAAAGUGAAACAUUGAAACAAAUAUGAGCUAUACAUACAUUUAAGAAAGACUAAUACAAACAAGUAAGAUAAUUAUUUAUCUGAUCAUUCCAGUCAGGGUUUGGGUGGCUGGAGCCCAUCCUGGAAGUUCAGAACACAGGGCGGGAACCAUCCCUGGACAGGACACCACCUUAACACAGGGUGCACUCACACCCACACACAUUCACUCAUGGUGGGACAACUGAGACACAGCAGUUCACCUAAUGUGCACAUCUUUGGGACGUGAGGAGAAACUGGAGUACCCAGAGAAAACCCACACUGAGAUGUGGAGAAUGAGCAAACUCCACAGGGACAGUGGCCCUGGCUGGGAACUGGUUUUUUUCUUCUCAUCAACAUUAUAAGAAGAUGAUGUUGAAAGAAACCAGGUUAAUGUAAGGACCUGCUGUAUUCCUUGAUAUUCUAGAGACUUCUUUCUUUAGCAAGUAAAGCCUGGAGGAGUUCAAGAUACUGAGAAGCAUUUUACAUGUAUCUUCUUGUUGGAUGUAAUUCCAUAUUUCCAGGCCCCAAUAUUAUGGGGGGUAUGUCUAUUCCACAUACACAAAAAAAUGCCCUUUAUUAAAAUCACAGUGCUUUAGUUUUAGUAGUGGGGUUAUAGGCAAUGGAAUACUGCCCCUCAUAAGAGUGGGAAUGUUCCCAUUGUGGAAAUCUGUGGGGAGAGUCUAGGACCUCGGACUUUUCAGGGGCUUGAUAAUCUGGGAGAACAAGACAUACAUGGUCUGUGUGAGCCAAAAGUUACCUGGGCCCCUGAGGGGGCCUCCAAGUCAGGUUCAACCUAUAUUGUUACAAUAACUUGCCUUUCCUUCUUAGGAAGGCAUGGAUAACUCUUCUUCCUUACAAUGAAAGAUUCUAACCAAUUCAAUAUGCAAGAUUUACAUAAAGAAAGAACCAUUAUUUGACUGUUCAGAACAAGGUUUUGCCUAGCACCUCAAAUCCAGUCUUGGGUUUUAUGUUGGACAAUUUAAGAAUAAGCAUAAGAAUUUAAAAUAAGAAGUGCGAUUGGCCUGUCCACUGAGAUAUGACAUGUAAACCAAAAUCUUCCAUUAUACAAUGCAGAGAAGUACUCCCCAAAAUGACGGAUUGACUAUAUACCUUGUCUUUUAACAACAGACAUUUAGGGUUUUUGAGGGGGACAUGGAGAUGGCUAGAGUCUCUGGUUUUGGUAAAAGCAUAUUUAAUAUCUGCUUACAGACAAAUCCUGCCCUGAUUCUGGGGACCAUGCCUGUGGAGAUGCACAGUUCUACCAUUCAAAAUGACUAUCUGAAAAUACCUCCUAAGAAGGACAAAACUUUUCUUCAGCCAAGAGGGCACUUGUUAAUAUGAUUAGAUACAUAUGUAAUGGUGUCCCCCUCCCCUCUUAGCCCCUCAGUGUGUGUUCUCUCAGUCAGUGUAUCUACAUGCAGGAGACAUUAAAGGAUGGAUGUAACUUCAGACCUUCAUUUCCCCAUAAGUAUUGCUUUCAGAGAAUAUCUAAUGAAGUCACAUGGAUGAAGAUUUCUGUAUCAUUUGUUUCCCAGAAUGGCUCUCCAACUUACAUUUCAUCAUCCACCCACAUAUCCACUUAUCCAUUCAACCUUCAUGUACUGACUGAAAACUCCUCUUAUAUAGUUUUCCUCAGCAGUUUCCUCUUCUGGGGAUUUUCUGCUGUUUUGGUAACCUGUUUUAAUGUUGUAUUUUAUGUGUUCCUAAGGGCAAUGCAAGUUGUUUAAAGAGGCAAUUAUCUCAUGUGAUUUAUGAGAUUUGCUGGACAAAUUCCAAUAAAAAAUGUACUUGAGAAGUAUGUCACAGGUUUAUUGCUGGUAUCAAUAAAGUCUCUAUAGUGUGUGGCAAUCCAUGUUUUAAAAGGAGUUAGCUUUGUGAUCAUAGAUUAUCAAAUCUAAUAUGCCACCAAUUAUAAGAUUUAUUCCAGUUUUUGAGAUGUAAAAAUGUAAAAAAUAAAGGUCAGCAAUUAUUUUAUAAUUUCAUGUAUUGUAAGAUAUAUGUAGAAUCAAAAGACGGUAAAAUGUGAAAUAAAGUGCACCUAAGAAUUGAUUAAAUAGGUUAUGGCCUUAAUAAUUCCUUUGCAAGUUUCUCCUAUACAUUACUAAUGGUAAAAUAAGUAAACUGAAUAAUAUUGAUAGGAAUAAAAACAAUAAGUUGGAGGAGAUUCAAUAGUGAUAACAGCCGACAUUCAUCUAGUGCCUAGUAUGGGUUGGGCAAUGUGGCUUUUCUCACUUAGUCCUCAGAUUAACACUGUGAGGAAGGUUCUAUUAUCUCCAUUUUACAUAUGAAGAAACUGAGGUCCAGGGAGACCUAUUCUUAUAUUUUCUCUCUUUUUAAAAAAAAAAAAAAUUAAAAUAUCUAACCCAUUGAACUAGUAAGUGGUAAGGUUAGGAUGACAAUGGAGACAGUUUGCUGUAUGAACCAAUGUUCUUCAUGACUCUGUUUUCUGUCUUUUGAGUAUGGAUAUCCACAAUUGCGCAUCCCCUCAUGACCCCUGACUCUGUAAAGGACAUGCUCCCUUUGUGCCCCUUGAGUCAAAGAAAUCACAGUUAACUGCCUGUCAGUCUGUGGGUUUGUAGGGCUCUGUGUCAGUUAUGCUUUGUCAAGAUCAGAACUUGGAGAGCAGAUGCGUGUGUGCUAAUCAAAGACUCUUCUAUUUUGCUUUCAUCUGUGAUCGCAGCACUUUCAGUACUGUUGACUUACUUCCCUAUGACAGCAAAACAAUAAAGGCAGGGGAAUAUUUUUCCUUUUUAAAGUAAAUUGUGGAAAAACAACAAUAACACAGCCUGCGGGAACACCCCCCUCACCAGCAUGUCUACCACUGCUCAUGACCAUUUGCAAGAAUUGCUGAGCCUUUUCUUUUUUCAAAAAGUGCCCUUAAAAAAAUCUGUAUUAGGGCAAAUAUUUAAACUACAGAAAAUAAUAAAAACAGUGUAGGUAAAGGUGCUGUUAGUAAAUGUUCAAUGCCAUGAUGCAGGUUGUUUUCGUAGAAGAAUCUCAUGACUAAAAGUCACAUGAAUGAUUCAGAAACAAAAGGAAUCACAGGUUUGAUGUUGAAAGUAACAUAGAGCCCACUGGACUAAUAACCAGCGCAGAGCAGGCAGAGGCUCCCAAGCAGUGGAGGGCAGGAAGCUGUGCUGGGAGAGCCUGGAUGAGACAAUCUGAACCUUCAUGUUUGAAUAAAACAGCCCAAGUUACACAGGCAGUAGCUUUGAAUUGAGAUAAUUCCAUCUCAAUUGUUUUGCCAGCAACAUCUUUCUCAAG
rnacentral:lncRNA from 1 species